rfam:Gossypium raimondii chromosome 2, whole genome shotgun sequence.
AAUCCAUGAUAAGGACACCUUCUCAACAAAUCCUUAAAUCUUUCUCACGUAUCAUAAAGAGUCUUAAUAUCAAAUUGAACAAAAAAAGAGAUAUCAUUCCUCAACUU